CGGAGUUUUAUUCUUUUCAGAGGAACUUGCUCCUUAAUCGAUAGUCCUCGUUUUAUCUUGCUUUAUUUUAUAGUAUGUAUACCGCCGUUAUAAGUUUAUUUUUUUAGAAUUUAUUUACUAUUAGUUUUAUUAGUCUAUAUUUCAGGUCAAGGUGCAGCUUAUAAUUAAGUGGUGGUGAGUUACAAUAUUAUUUGAAUAAAUGGAUUUUUUUUUAAAUUUUAAAUGAAGGUGGAUUUGAUAGUAAUUUUGUUUAUAAAGAUAUUUUGAUUUUAGCUCUAAAACAAGUACACAUCGCCCGUCGCUCU
rnacentral:rRNA from 1 species